rnacentral:tRNA from 1 species
CGGGGAGUGGCGCAGCGGUAGCGCACCUGCUUUGGGGGCAGGCGGUCGGGGGUUCGAAUCCCCCCUCCCCGA